UAGCUUGCUAAUUUGCUGACGAGCGGCGGACGGGUGAGUAAUGCCUGGGAAUAUGCCUUGAUGUGGGGGAUAACUAUUGGAAACGAUAGCUAAUACCGCAUAAUGCCUACGGGCCAAAGAGGGGGAUCUUCGGACCUCUCGCGUCAAGAUUAGCCCAGGUGGGAUUAGCUAGUUGGUGGGGUAAUGGCUCACCAAGGCGACGAUCCCUAGCUGGUUUGAGAGGAUGAUCAGCCACACUGGAACUGAGACACGGUCCAGACUCCUACGGGAGGCAGCAGUGGGGAAUAUUGCACAAUGGGGGAAACCCUGAUGCAGCC
rnacentral:rRNA from 1 species